rnacentral:rRNA from 1 species
UACGUAGGGUGCAAGCGUUGUCCGGAAUUAUUGGGCGUAAAGAGCUCGUAGGCGGUUUGUCGCGUCGGCUGUGAAAACCCGGGGCUCAACCCCGGGCCUGCAGUCGAUACGGGCAAACUAGAGUGUGGUAGGGGAGACUGGAAUUCCUGGUGUAGCGGUGAAAUGCGCAGAUAUCAGGAGGAACACCGAUGGCGAAGGCAGUUCUCUGGGCCGUAACUGACGCUGAGGAGCGAAAGCGUGGGGAGCGAACAGG